rfam:Oikopleura dioica, whole genome shotgun assembly, reference scaffold set, scaffold scaffold_1
GGCUCGUUGGUCUAGGGGUAUGAUUCGCGCUUCGGGUGCGCGAGGUCCCGGGUUCAAAUCCCGGACGAGCCC